rnacentral:lncRNA from 1 species
UUACGAACAAAGAAACCAUAUAAAUCUAUGAGUCGUUCAGGGAACAUCGAAUUGAAGUUUUUUUCUUUUUGUAUUUCAUAUAUAUACCUAACUUAUAGAUAGAUAACGGUUGAUGAUCAUCAAGAUUAUGCUUUCAGACAAACCAAAAAACAUUGGAUGUAUUAGAAGCGAAAAAGAGAGAAGAAAAAGAAAACAUUAGGUGGGAUACCUUACCUAAUCAUAAGGAAGGACCGGAACGCUAAUCUUCUUAUGAACAAAGAAACCAUAUAAAUCUAUGAGUCGUUCAGGGAACAUCGAAUUGAAGUUUUUUUCUUUUUGUAUUUCAUAUAUAUACCUAACUUAUAGAUAGAUAACUGUUGAUGAUCAUCAAGAUUAUGUUUUCAGACUAACCAAAAAAUAUUCGAUGUAUUAGAAUUAGAAGGGAAAAAGAGAGAAGAAAAAAGAAAACAUUAAGUGGGAUACCUUACCUAAUCAAAAGGAAGGACCGGAACGCUAAUCUUCUUAUGAACAAAGAAACCAUGUAAAUCUAUGAGUCGUUCAGGGAACAUCGAAUUGAAGUUUUUUUCUUUUUGUAUUUCAUAUAUAUACCUAACUUAUAGAUAGAUAACGGUUGAUGAUCAUCAAGAUUAUGCUUUCAAACUAACCAAAAAAUAUUUGAUGUAUUAGAAUUAGAAGGGAAAAAGAGAGAAGAAAAAAGAAAACAUUAGGUGGGAUACCUUACCUAAUCAUAAGGAAGGACCGGAACGCUAAUCUUCUUAUGAACAAAGAAACCAUAUAAAUUUAUGAGUCGUUCAGGGAACAUCGAAUUGAAGUUUUUUUCUUUUUGUAUUUCAUAUAUAUACCUAACUUAUAGAUAGAUAACGGUUGAUGAUCAACAAGAUUAUGCUUUCAGACUAACCAAAAAAUAUUCGAUGUAUUAGAAUUAGAAGGGAAAAAGAGAGAAGAAAAAAGAAAACAUUAGGUGGGAUACCUUACCUAAUCAUAAGGAAGGACCGGAGUGCUAAUCUUCUUAUAAACAAAGAAACCAUAUAAAUGUAUGAGUCGUUCAUGGAACAUCGAAUUGAAGUUUUUUUCUUUUUGUAUUUCAUACAUGUACCUAACUUAUAGAUAGAUAACGGUUGAUGAUCAUCAAGAUUAUGCUUUCAAACUAACCAAAAAAUAUUUGAUGUAUUAGAAUUAGAAGGGAAAAAGAGAGAAGAAAAAAGAAAACAUUAGGUGGGAUACCUUACCUAAUCAUAAGGAAGGACCGGAACGCUAAUCUUCUUAUGAACAAAG